GACGAACGCUGGCGGCGUGCUUAACACAUGCAAGUCGAGCGAUGAAGCUUCUUCGGAAGUGGAUUAGCGGCGGACGGGUGAGUAACACGUGGGUAACCUGCCUCAUAGAGGGGAAUAGCCUUCCGAAAGGAAGAUUAAUACCGCAUAAGAUUGUAAUAUCGCAUGAUAUAGUAAUUAAAGGAGCAAUCCGCUAUGAGAUGGACCCGCGUCGCAUUAGCUAGUUGGUGAGGUAACGGCUCACCAAGGCGACGAUGCGUAGCCGACCUGAGAGGGUGAUCGGCCACAUUGGGACUGGGACACGGCCCAGACUCCUACGGGAGGCAGCAGUGGGGAAUAUUGCACAAUGGGGGAAACCCUGAUGCAGCAACGCCGCGUGAGUGAUGACGGUCUUCGGAUUGUAAAGCUCUGUCUUCAGGGACGAUAAUGACGGUACCUGAGGAGGAAGCCACGGCUAACUACGUGCCAGCAGCCGCGGUAA
rnacentral:rRNA from 1 species